rnacentral:rRNA from 1 species
GGUGAACGCUGGCGGCGUGCCUAAUACAUGCAAGUCGAGCGAACAGACGAGGAGCUUGCUCCUCUGACGUUAGCGGCGGACGGGUGAGUAACACGUGGAUAACCUACCUAUAAGACUGGGAUAACUUCGGGAAACCGGAGCUAAUACCGGAUAAUAUAUUGAACCGCAUGGUUCAAUAGUGAAAGACGGUUUUGCUGUCACUUAUAGAUGGAUCCGCGCCGCAUUGGCUAGUUGGUAAGGUAACAGCUUACCAAGGCAACGAUGCGUAGCCGACCUGAGAGGGUGAUCGGCCACACUGGAACUGAGACACGGUCCAGACUCCUACGGGAGGCAGCAGUAGGGAAUCUUCCGCAAUGGGCGAAAGCCUGACGGAGCAACGCCGCGUGAGUGAUGAAGGUCUUCGGAUCGUAAAACUCUGUUAUUAGGGAAGAACAAAUGUGUAAGUAACUAUGCACGUCUUGACGGUACCUAAUCAGAAAGCCACGGCUAACUACGUG